CGCAAAAUUCGCAAUUAAUAGUACCCGCAUUUAAAAGUAACCUUAAGGUACUGAUAUAUUGCCCAUCCUUAUUGGUACUGCAUUUCUCUAUUCUCAUUGUUGUGUUCCUUGACCCCUAUUCUUGUAUAUCUUAAUUUGUCUCGUAUUGACAUUUCUUCCUCUCUUUUGCCUUCUCUCCUCCUAGUAUAUGUACAUGUACAUCUAACUUUUGCUCUUUCUCUUUUCUUCCUAUAUAGGAUUCUCCUAUCUCUUACGUUCUUUGUCUUCUUGUGUAUAAAUACAGUUCCUUACUGAUACUAUAAGCUUGUGUUAACACAUGUACGUCAAUGUCAUGUUUUUUAUAUUAUUUAUUAUUAUAGUACAUUUUUGAAUCACAGACGCAUUGCGUGUCAAGAAUCAAGAUUCCAUUUCCGGCAAAAGAUGUGGGAGUAGAACUAUCCUAACAACAUGAUGGAGAAUGGAAUUAAGACAAAAUGCUAAGAAUAUUCAGAGCAUGUCCAAUUUGAACAAUGCCGUUAACUACUCAUAAUCAAUAAACAGUUUGUUCCAUGGACAUUAACUUAUUACUUAGAGAAAAGGAUGUGUUGAGAUUAAUAUGCACUAAUGCAAUGGUAAGUGGUAUGUUGUGUACAUGUACAUGUAUUUGAGUCAAUUGAUUACCGAGUAACUGUAAUGGUAAUUGUCACAGGCCUAUGUCACUGACUAUACAUGUAUUCUUCAUUAUGUCUCAGAUAAACCCAUUAACAAUGACAUUGCCUUCUGAGCACAGAUGGCAAUACAGUUACCAUUGCCAUUACUAUUACCUUUGUAAUAACAAUUCAGUGCUGUACACCUUUCUCUCUUUCCUCUUUUUGUUUC